rnacentral:pre_miRNA from 1 species
AAGUUGGAAUGUGAGAAUUGGAUGAGACCAAAUCUUCAGCUUCAGAUUAUGCAGUGCACAAGGUUUGGUUUCCUCCAAUGUCUCAUCUUCAAACU